GUUUUAUUAGGGGUUUCCGCUUUUGUGCCUUCCUCAUUCUCUCUUCGCCUGCUGCCAUCCAUGUAACACAGGACUUGCUCCUCCUUGCCUUCUGCCAGAAUUGUGAGGCUUCCCCAGCCACUUGGAACUUAUUUGAGCUGAGAUCCUACCUUCCUGUAUAACAAGAACCUUAACAUCACAGUCAGCUCUUGAUUAUCUGAGCCAGACAGACUGGUUUGAAGAGCAAGAUAUAGCAGUGACCUGCUCUACUACUUGGAUUCUGGAUGGUUUAGAGAAUCACCAGGAAGUCAGGAACAAAGAGUUCCUGGGCAGCUGGCACCACAGUGCAGAUCAUGACAUGGAACACAGAGGAAUGGCUGCUGCCAUCUUUGACCAUGGGAUGCCACAUCUCGAAACACCAACUCUGCUGGUCCCCAGAGCCCAGAUACAGCUACUUGUGCUUCUAUCACCGUGUCCCUGGAAACAGAUGUUGCUGCUAUUACUGGAACUGCCAUAAAAGAUUCUCUGCUGCCUGGCUUUUUUGCUCCCCAAUCUGAGCUUAUGAUAAAUGCCUCACUGUUGCUGCAAGGAGGGGGCCAAUACCCAGGACAGUAAGCACUUGGCCUUUCUUCCAUUUCUACCGUGAAAGAUGGCUCUGCCUCCCACCCAAACUCAGAAAGCGGGGAAUUUCCCAAACAUUGGAAAACCUUCAGAUGUGGAGUGCCCUCCCACUAAAAACAUUCCCAUCACUGUCCACUUGCAUCAUUUAGUCCUAGCAUUUUAAAGAAGGUCCCCUUUAGGAACUGAUUUUGAAUCUUCAUAAAUGAUUUUCCUGCUCCUCUUGAGAUAAUCAUAUGGUUUCUCUUAUUUGACCCAUUGAUAUGUUCUAUAAACAGAUUUACUAAUAUUAAAACAGCUUUGCAUUCUUCGGUAAACCCUA
rnacentral:lncRNA from 10 species